rnacentral:sRNA from 1 species
AGGUCUGAGAAAGGUAAGGAUGUCUGCUUUACCUCCUUCUAGUCCUUACCAUACUAUCUGUUAUCACACUCAUUGCCAGAGUUGAUUCAUAUGAUCUGGUUGGCUGGGCUGUGUCCGUUCUUUUCUCACUGUUCCCUGUGUGUUCACCCCACAGAUGCAUGCUCAAUGAGGAUGACCUUCCUCAAUAUAGGAGAUCUGUUCUUGGGUCAAGGGUAUGUGAGUACCCAUGUUCUGCUAAAACCUCCCCAAGGCUCUCAAGGUCUGCAGUGUUAUAUUGGGUUUGUUAACCAGUCCAACAAGGCAAGAAAAAUAAUUUUG